UUGUGUUUGAGGGGCAUAGGUCUUUAUAAAAUUAAGGUCCUAUCUCAAACCGACAACAUGAAGUGAAAACAAUAAUAAUCUAAAGAUAAACUAGUUUAUAGGGAAAGGCUGAAAAAAAAUUAUUUAAAGGAAAGAUACGACCUCUUCUGACAGAUCUGAGUCAGUGGAUGAGUUUGGAUGUCAGAGUGUAGGAUGCAGAACCGGAGCUCGACGGUUUGUAGAAAAUGCUGCUGAAAGAUGGUCGACUGCGGAUAUCGUUGUGGAAGCCCAACUCACUGCAGGGUCUGGAUCCAAGUACAGAGGCCUGAAAACUGGGCCCGCAAGUUAAUGGGCGGGAGGAUCAACUAGGCUCGCGUGACAACGGGCCAAGCACUGGGCCGGCCCGCUCACCCGAAAGCAAAAUAGUGAUAGGGGACCCGAAGCUUCGAGACUAACUUCGGAUCCCUCUAUCAAUGGGGAAAAGGGCUGAGGGAUUUGGGGGGGGGG